GGGGACGUGGCGGAAUGGCAGACGCGCAUGACUUAGGAUCAUGUGCCGCAAGGCGUAUGGGUUCAACUCCCAUCGUCCCCACCA
rnacentral:tRNA from 4 species